UACGUAGGGUGCAAGCAUUAAUCGGAUUUAUUGGGCGUAAAGGGCGCGUAGGCGGAAAUGCCAGUCAGAUGUGAAAUCCCGGGGCUCAACCCCGGAACAGCAUUUGAAACUACAUUUCUAGAGGGUAGGCGGAGAAAACGGAAUUCCACAAGUAGCGGUGAAAUGCGUAGAUAUGUGGAAGAACACCAGUGGCGAAGGCGGCUCACUGGCCCGAUACUGACGCUGAUGCACGAAAGCGUGGGGAGCAAACAGG
rnacentral:rRNA from 1 species